GAUGAACGCUGGCGGCGUGCUUAACACAUGCAAGUCGAACGAAGCAUUUAGAACGGAUUACUUCGGUUCGAAGUUCUUUAUGACUGAGUGGCGGACGGGUGAGUAACGCGUGGGUAACCUGCCUUGUACUGGGGGAUAGCAGCUGGAAACGGCUGGUAAUACCGCAUAAGCGCACAAUGUUGCAUGACAUGGUGUAAAAAACUCCGGUGGUAUAAGAUGGACCCGCGUCUGAUUAGCUAGUUGGUGAGAUAACAGCCCACCAAGGCGACGAUCAGUAGCCGACCUGAGAGGGUGACCGGCCACAUUGGGACUGAGACACGGCCCAGACUCCUACGGGAGGCAGCAGUGGGGAAUAUUGCACAAUGGAGGAAACUCUGAUGCAGCGACGCCGCGUGAGUGAAGAAGUAAUUCGUUAUGUAAAGCUCUAUCAGCAGGGAAGAUAGUGACGGUACCUGACUAAGAAGCACCGGCUAAAUACGUGCCAGCAGCCGCCGUAAUAC
rnacentral:rRNA from 1 species